rnacentral:rRNA from 1 species
UACGUAGGGCGCAAGCGUUAUCCGGAAUUAUUGGGCGUAAAGAGCUCGUAGGCGGUUUGUCGCGUCUGCCGUGAAAGUCCGGGGCUUAACCCCGGAUCUGCGGUGGGUACGGGCAGACUAGAGUGCAGUAGGGGAGACUGGAAUUCCCGGUGUAGCGGUGAAAUGCGCAGAUAUCAGGAGGAACACCGAUGGCGAAGGCAGGUCUCUGGGCUGUAACUGACGCUGAGGAGCGAAAGCAUGGGGAGCGAACAGG